UCUCUCUCUCAACUCAGACCCAUUCUCUAUUCUAUCAUUGUACCUCACGACCCUCGAUUUUUCUUCAUCUUGCUGAAACCCAAAUCACCAAAACCGUGAGACCCAGCCCCAACACUUGCGAUUUCUUUCAUUCUCAGCUUCGAUCAUAUGUGUCUGGAGUUAAUCUCUCUCAAGUCAGACCCACUCUCUAUUCUUUCUCUCUACCUCGCAACCCUCAAUCUCUCUUCGUGUUGCUGAAACCCAAACCACCGAAACUGUGAGACCCAGCCCCAGCUUUUGGUUUGUUCAAUCUGUGGGAGCAUUGAAGUCUUUGGGAUUUCUGAGCUAUUAAUUUCUUUGGUUUCAGGCUGAUAAUAGCAAUGCCUUGGAGAAAAUGAGUACAGCCACGGCAGAGAAUUCUAAGGAAUCUACGGCAACAAUCGCUCAGGGGGCUACGUCGGCUGUGAUGGUGGAUAAGUAGAGGAGUUCGUUCUCUUCGUGGAGUGUAUACCAGAAGCGUAACAACCGGGUGACGACCUUCAAGACCUCGAUACUGUGGUGGAUGAUUCUCUCACAGUCUGCUCAGGUGCUUCAGGGAUCCUCAUGCAAUAGCAACAAAUAGAGAGAAUAUAUUGUGUUCUCUUUAGGGAUGAGAAGACUUCUGAAGAUGAAACCUAUUGAAAUAGUUUAGCAAUGGGUUAAAUUAUGUUGAGGAAAUCUGCACUUUUUGGUAGGGAAUAUGCACUUUUUGGUUUGGAGUUGAUGGUGCUUUGAGGCUUCUGUGUUGAACUCAGGUGACAAGUUGGUAUUUGGAGCAAACCAUGCUUAUGUAUCCUUUUAUUUAGGUUUUGGGUGUUUACUUCAAUUAGUUCUAUGGUGUUGAAUCUUGGUUAGAGCAUGAGGAGAGUAGUUUUUUAAAUGGGUUUAAAUUUUUGUUUCUUUGCAUGUCAUAGUUUUCUGCAGCAUUGGGUUUAUUUUUACACAUAUUUCCUUCUAAGACCCUCAUUUCUUGGUUUCUUUUAAUUUUAAUUUUCGGGGUGUCUACAAGUGGGACAUGAAGAAAACCCUCAAUUGGUCUCCAUUGUUGUAGAUAUCUAUCACUGGUUGCAUAUAGGGGCUAACCUAGAGAAAUUAGGUUAAGGAAUAAAGUCUCCUUUGAUUUCUGGAGGAGCUUGACUGGUACACCUUCAAUGUGUUCAAUUGAAAUUAAAAAUAUGGGCCUACUCUGUAGCAAAAACCAUCAUUUCAGAGGAGUAGAGGCUGAAGAGAAUGCACACACGAUGUAGAAAUUGAAAGGAGAAUUGAGGAAGAAACAAAAGUUGAAAAGCAUACCCAGAAACUUCUAUUACUUGCUUCCAUGGAAGAGAAAAGAAGAAAACCAUGAAGAGAUCUGGAAGUUUGGACUCUCGUUGGACUGAAAAAGAAGUGAAAGAACAGCAAAGGAAAUUGAGUGUUAACUAGACAAAAGACAUGUUACUUUUGUAGCCUUCUAAAGCAAAAAAGGGAUUACUUAUAGGAGAAAGGAAAUUGAGUUUAUAA